UGAAAGCAUGAGCUACAGCUAGCUAACACUGCAGUGCAUAAAGUGUGUUGAGUAGUUGACUCAAAGAGAGAAAGAAAAGAGUUGAUUUGUUUUGAACAAAUUCAUUUCUUCAAAACAGGAGACGCAGCAGAGCUAUAUUUAGUUGUAUUUUUUUUCUUCGUCUUAGUUUCCCUUUCACUUACUUUGCUAAUGCAGCUAAUUUAACCUACUCAACAACUUGACUCAAACAGAGAGGAAAGAGCUAAGGCUAUCCAACACUGCAACUUUUCCAAGUCAACAGGAUUUGAGCCCUGUGACCAUGCCUAAGGACUACCUGGCCUGAUGACUCCUUUCUGUCCCCUGUCCACCUGGUCAUGCUGCUGCUCCAGUUUCAACUGUUCUGCCUGCGGCUAAGGAACCCUGACAUGUUCACCGGACGUGCUACCUUGUCCCGGACCUGCUGUUUUCGACUCUCUCUCUCUACCGCACCUGCUGUCUCUAACUCUGAAUGCUCAGCUAUGAAAAGCCAACUGACAUUUACUCCUGAGGUGCUGACCUGUUGAACCUUCUACAACCAAUGUGAUUAUCAUUAUUAUUAUUAUUUUUAUUAUUUGAUCCUGCUGGUCAUCUAUGAACGUUUGAACAUUUUGGCCAUGUACUAUUAUAAUCUCUCCUCCAGAAGAGGACUGGCCACCCCUCAGAGCCUGGUUCCUCUCUAGGUUUCUUCCUAGGUUCUUGCCUUUCUAGGGAGUUUUUUCCAGCCAACGUGCUUCUACAUCUGCAUUGCUUGCUGUUAGGGGUUUUAGGCUGGGUUUCGUAUAGCACUUUGACAUUGGCUGAUGUAAAAAGACCUUUACAAAUACAUUUGAUUGAUUGAUCUGAAAAUAAACAUACUGAAAUGGC